UUUGCUCUGGGUAUAACCAAGCAACGAGAGGCCGAUGAGGAAGGGUCUGAUACUUCUUCCAGGGACCACUGAACUGUGCACAUCCAUCACCUGCACCCUCUGCUGUUGAUUUGGAUGUGAAUGUGUUCGUUCAUUGUGGGGAGAAGUAAUCUGGAAAGAAAAAAAAGAAGAGGAAGAAAAUAGGCCCCAGAAUCAGAGGGCAGGCCUGGGCAGCACUGCAGUUUUUGCCACAAUAUAAAUCUCACUCGGUGAUAAACCCAAGAAGAUGUACAACAGGGCUUUCACAAAUCAACAUUUCCUGGGGCUUAGCAGGAAGAUGGCCAUUGAUGAACCAGGAAGUGGGCUCUCACCAGACAGCAGACCUGCUGCCACCUUGACCUUGGACUUCCCAGCCUCCAAAACUGUGAGAAAUAAAUUUCUAUUGUUUAUAA